GUUGGGUAGGGGAGCGUUCUGUAAGCCUGUGAAGGUGUGUCGUGAGGCAUGCUGGAGGUAUCAGAAGUGCGAAUGCUGACAUAAGUAACGAUAAAGCGGGUGAAAAGCCCGCUCGCCGGAAGACCAAGGGUUCCUGUCCAACGUUAAUCGGGGCAGGGUGAGUCGACCCCUAAGGCGAGGCCGAAAGGCGUAGUCGAUGGGAAACGGGUUAAUAUUCCCGUACUUGGUGUUACUGCGAAGGGGGGACGGAGAAGGCUAUGUUGGCCGGGCGACGGUUGUCCCGGUUUAAGCGUGUAGGUGUGUGUUCCAGGUAAAUCCGGUUCACUUUAACACUGAGGCGUGACGACGAGGCACUACGGUGCUGAAGCAACAAAUGCCCUGCUUCCAGGAAAAGCCUCUAAGCAUCAGGUAACAUCAAAUCGUACCCCAAACCGACACAGGUGGUCAGGUAGAGAAUACCAAGGCGCUUGAGAGAACUCGGGUGAAGGAACUAGGCAAAAU
rnacentral:rRNA from 1 species